rnacentral:misc_RNA from 1 species
GAAAUGCGAUACGUAAUGUGAAUUGCAGAAUUCAGUGAAUCAUCGAGUCUUUGAACGCACAUUGCGCCCCCUGGUAUUCCGGGGGGCAUGCCUGUCCGAGCGUCAUUUCUGCCCUCAAGCCCGGCUUGUGUGUUGGGCCGCGUCCCCCCGGGGACGGGCCCGAAAGGCAGCGGCGGCACCGCGUCCGGUCCUCGAGCGUAUGGGGCUUUGUCACCCGCUCUUGCAGGCCCGGCCGGCGCCAGCCGACCCCAACCAUUCUUUCUCAGGUUGACCUCGGAUCAGGUAGGGAUACCCGCUGAACUUAA